rfam:Streptococcus pneumoniae D39, complete genome.
UGGCAUAGCCCUUGUUCUCGCAGCUGUCUGGUUAGGAUGGCCCAA